ACAAACUUGGUCAUUUAGAGGAAGUAAAAGUCGUAACAAGGUUUCCGUAGGUGAACCUGCGGAAGGAUCAUUACUGAAGUGCUUGGAGAUGUUGCUGGCUUUCCUUCCUGGAGGGCAACGUGCACUCUUCCAACUCCUCACAAUUUCACACACCCCUUUUGUGCACUCUUUGUAGGGUCCCUCACAGUAGGAUGGCUCUAUGUCUUUUUUGUCACUUUUUACGCAUAUGAAUGGCAUGUGUCGCGAUAAAAUAAAAAUGAAACAACUUUCAACAAUGGAUCUCUUGGCUCUCGCAUCGAUGAAGAACGCAGC
rnacentral:misc_RNA from 1 species